rnacentral:rRNA from 1 species
UACGUAGGGUGCAAGCGUUGUCCGGAAUUAUUGGGCGUAAAGAGCUCGUAGGCGGUCUGUUGCGUCGGCUGUGAAAACCCGAGGCUCAACCUCGGGCCUGCAGCCGAUACGGGCAGACUAGAGUUCGGCAGGGGAGACUGGAAUUCCUGGUGUAGCGGUGAAAUGCGCAGAUAUCAGGAGGAACACCGGUGGCGAAGGCGGGUCUCUGGGCCGUAACUGACGCUGAGGAGCGAAAGCAUGGGGAGCGAACAGG